CUUCUAUAUUCUGAAUAUUCGAUGAGUUAACUGGGAGAGACGCCUCAUUAACUAGAAUAAAGGCAAAGAUAUCCACAAUAAUUAAAAUGAUACAAGCAACAGAACCUGCCGCAGUAUCUGGCUCCGUGCCCAAAACUGCAGAAAUGAUGUCCUUAUCAGUGCAGUUGAUGAACAUGUUGAUGCAUAUCCUUGUCAUGUGGGCGCAGAUGUUGGCUCUAUGUGCUCGGAUGAUCUCCAUAACAGCUCAGUUACUAGUACUCCUGGCCAGAAUGUUAACUAUGCUAAUGGAAAUGAUAACUCCGGUAACUAAGGUGUUAUUAACAGUUGCCAAGACACUUCAGCCAGUUGCCAAGGUGAUGGUGUCUUUCUUGGAUCUUAAGAAACCUGUGAUUGAUUACAACAUGGGAGAAAAUACUUGUAUGUGUUCCUGAUUGUGGAGUUCCGCGAGCAAGAUGAGGCUUAUUGGUUGUGCUUCCUUAGCGUAUGCCAGCUAGUAGGAUGCCCUGCCGCAGUAACUACCUCGACAAAUGUGAAGAACCACAUGAGGCUACAAGCCGUUUUAUCAGAAUAUGUGUAAGCCUGAUAUCUUGCAAUCUGUGUCUUUAAAUCUUGAAUAGUUUUUAAGAAUGUUUUGAGGGUAAAUCACCUCAUCUUUUGUUUCUGAAAGUACAUAUUUUAUUUCUCUAUAAAAAGUAUUUUGAAAUUGUUUAUCUUAUAACAGUAGAUAAAUUAUAUGAUGAUAUUUUACAUUAUAAUCGUAAAUCUUUUCAGUUUAUCCUUUUCUUUCAUUUAAGCAUUUCCUUUGGCUUAUUAGUGAUUGGAUAUGUGAAAUAUAUUCUUUAUAGGUUUACAUAUGACAUAGAAAGCUACAAUUGGCUGGCUCCAGUUAUAUUUAAAAGAAAAGAAAGUUGAAUUCUGUAUAUUUUUUUUUUUUUACCUUUUCUUUUUAUUAACCCAAAGCAUAUCUAUACAUUUUAUGUAGACAGUAGCAUGCCUGUAUAUGUUUGUUUGUUUGUUUUUGUAUAGAUACAGGCCAUACUGAUUGCAAAAAUUAAACUUAUUCCCUGAUACUAUAAGGACAUAUUCUGGGAAGUCCACUUUAGAGUAGACUUACUUAUUUUUUUACUUAGAAUUUUAAGAAAUAAUGCAUAUUAGUAGUUUAGAAUAUAUCUUCAAAAAGUGAUUGUAAGAAUAGGCAUGAAAUAACAGUAUUUUCACACUUAAUAUGUUACUUGUUAUUUAUUUCUGCAUGUUGCUCAUUCAAAUGUCUUUCUGGCUUGUAAUAAUGUUUUUCUAUUUUUACUUUUAUGAAUACUGUAUAUAUUCUACAUUCAAUAAAGUGUACUGUGA